rnacentral:lncRNA from 10 species
CCCACUGGCCAUUCCCCCUUGUUUGUGCAGCUUCUUGUUCAAGCUUGAUCUUGAUUUCAUACCAUAUACCAGAGUAAAUUCCAACUAGAUUAAAGUAGAAAAAAUUAAAGCAAUAAAAACACUGAAAUACAUGUUAAGAUUAUCUUUCUAUCUGGAAUAGGGAAGUGAAACUAGGCAAGAUGGGAUAUACAAAAGCCAUAAAAGAAAGUUUAGACAUAUCUGAUCAGAGGCUACAUUUCACUAGUUACAUAUUACACAUACAAUUUUUCUUUCUUUUUUUUUUUUGAGAUGAAGUCUUGCUCUAUCACCCAGGCUGGAGUGCAG